CUACCCAAAUUCUACAUUUGUAUUAAUGUAUUUUAAACUCACUUUUAUGGUAUAUGAGAAUCGUUCUAAUUUUUUAUCAAUAAAAUAGUAAAACUACAUAAUACUAUUUUAAUCAGUAGAAUAAUCACUAAAAUUGCUAUUUUCUUGAAAAACGGACACAACAAAGGCUUUUAACCGUUUUCAACAUCAUCAUAUAUUAGUGUAGGAUGCAACUAUGCAUUAAAACAAUAUUGUCAUAUUUUUUGAAAUUUUCUCAAAAUAUAUGUGUUAACCUCUACAAAAUAUUGAAUUUUUGUAAAUGCUUUAUAUACUGAACCCUAUAAUAUUUAGUGUUGUUUUAAAAUUUCUAACCACAUUCUACAUUUGUAUUAAUGUAUGUUAAACUCUCUUUUAUGAUGCACGAGCAUCGUUCAGUUUUUCUAUAAAUUAAUUUAGCAAAAUUUCAUAUACUCAUUAAACUAGUGAACUAACCGUUAUAAAAUUCUCUAUUCUCUAGAGAAAUGAAGACAACAAAGGUUCCAAACCUCUUUGACCUUCACCAUAUAUUACUACAGCAGACAAAUAUGCAUCAAAACAAUGUUGUUAUAUUUUUUUGAAUUUUUCUCAAAAUCUAUAUUUUAACACCCCUACGAAAAUAUUGAGUUUUACGUUAAACGCUCUAUACACUGAAG
rnacentral:lncRNA from 1 species